CCUCAGCAUAUGGAAGUUCCCAGGCUAGGGGUUGAAUUGGCGCUGUAGCUGCCAGCCUACACAACAGCCACAGCAACACAGGAUCUGAGCCAUGUCUGCGACCUACACCACAGCUCCCAGCAAUGCUGGAUCCCCAACCCACUGAGUGAGGCCAGGGAUCGAACCCGCAUCCUCAUUGAUACCAGUCAGAUUUUUUUCUGUUGCGCCAAAGUGGAAACUCCCUAAAACUCAUUUUUUCCCCACCAUAUCAGAGUGCAUGAUUGUGUUUCACCCUUGUCUUAAAUCCUUUCUAGAAUAAGGCAGAACACAAAUCAAUUUUACAAAUUAUUCCCAACGGCUUUACCAGAAGUCACAUCCAUCUUAGUAAUGCAGAGGGUCUUCGUAGUGGAAGAGCACAGACUUUGACUUGAAAUGAACUUUUAUUUGUAUCCCUGUUCUGCCUCUUAGUGAUCUUGAGAAAGUUUCUUAAGCCAUGCUGAUCUUUAAUUAUAUCAUUUAUGAAAUGAAGGUAUUCAUAGAAUUCCGAAAUGGCAGUGCAAUGCCUAAAGCAGAGGACCUUCCAAAUGGUGCUUAUUCACCCUUCUUUCUGAGGAUGCCACUUAAAGAAGGACAUGGCCAUUAAAGCAGCUCAGAAAAAGGAAAAUAUUGUCUAUAGGAAGGGCUUAGUUGGUUUUAUGACAAAGGGAUAUUCCUCAAGGUAUGAGUCGAUUUAAUGUAAAAUGCCCUUGACACAGAAUGAAAUAUGGCCUAUUAUAGUGAAUUUAUAUUUUUGCUUGUCAUUUGCUUCAUCAGAAACUGAUUAAUGAUACAUAUUGAGAUUCAUCAAAAUUUAAAACUAUUUUUAUACACACUACUAUAUAUGAAAAUAGACAAUCAACAAGGACCUACUGUAUAGCACAAGGAAAUGUACUCAACACUUUGUAAUAACCUAUGUGGGAAAAGAAUAUGAAAAAGAAUGUAUAAUAUGUAUAUGUAUAACCAAUUCACAAGCACAACACUGUAAAUCAACUCUACACCAAUAAAAUUUUUAAAAAAAUUAAGAUUACAAAAGUACCUUCAAGGAAUUUGCAAAUAUUCUGUAAAUUAUAACCAAUGCCAUAGUAAAUGCAAAUGGGGAUGUCAAAACAGGGAAGGAUAACUCCAGGUUUAGAGGAUACUUCUAGAUUUGGGGUUUUCUGGGUCUUUAAUCAUUGGAAUGCACCUUCGGAAGCUAAAGGAAUAUGAGAAAAAUAGAGAAGGGACACCAAGAAAAUUAAUUACCUUUGUGGUACAAACAUAGGACUAGUGACAGAAAAACUAAAAUGUAGUGUGAACAAAAGCUGGUGACAGUGCUCAAACAUUUAAUCAAGACAAGUCAUUUAAGUUCAACUUUUUUUUUUUUUACUUAUUUAUUUAUUUAUUUAUUUUUGUCUUUUUGCUAUUUCUUUGGGCCGCUCCCGCGGCAUAUGGAGAUCCCAGACGUGGCUCGGAUCUGACAUUGCUGUGGCUGUGGUAUAGGCCAGCAGCAACAGCUCCGACUGGACCUUUAGCCUGGGAACCUCCAUGUGCCAUGGGUGAGGCCCUAAAAAGGCAAAAAACAAAAAACAAGAAGGGGCAAUUGGAAGAACAGUAAUGUCAGCAUGACUGCAUUCAUUAGUUGCUUAAAUGCACCUGCUUAUUUUUGUAUGUUCCCCUUUUAAAGGAAAAUAUAUAGAAAUAGAAUUUUCAAAAUUACUUUCAAAUGCCUACUUAAUUGAGGGCACCGCUAAUAUAUGUUAAAUUUUUUACUAAAAUAAAUAUUUCAAAGGGUAAGAUCCCUCUUUUUCUUUUUUUAAGAAAAUUAAGUAGGCAGACUUAUUAUUUGACUAAUCAGGGAAAUAAUUAGAGAACUCAUUAUACAAAAAUACACGUGUGUAUAUAUAUUUGAAAAUCAGGUAUCUUAUUUCAAAAGCAAUAAAAAAAACUGAAAAGAGGAUCUGGGAUUUCUUAUAUUUGUCGUAAGUAGAGCAAUUUCCGUUUGAGAAUAUACUUCAAAGUGUUUCUCAAAACUUCUGCUUUUUAGGAGUUUCCUGGUGGCUCAGUGAGUUAAGGAUCUGGUGUUGUCACUAUUAUUGCUCAGGUCACUACUGUGCCACAGAAACUUCUGCAUGCCACAGGCACGGCCAAAACAAACAAACUACCACUUUUUGGGGGGUUUUCAUUUUUUAAAAUUUUAUUGAAGUAUAGUUUAUUUACAGUGUUAAUUUCUGCUGUACAACACAUAACUACCACUUUUAAAGUCAUUCAUUCAUUGACUUUUUCGCUUAUUCCUUCAUUUGACAUUUUAAAAAAAAUUUUUCCUGAAAUAAUAGUACUGCGUAUUCGUUAUGAAAUUUAGAAAAGCCAUUAAAGUACAAACAAGGAAAUGAAAAUGCCCUUUUCCUUUCUGUACUCAAAGCUAAUGACCAUUUCCUGUUUGGAGGCAUUUUCCUUCAUAAAGAUAUCCUCCCUGUGGUCAGGCCCCUUAGGCAGCCUUGCUUCUUGCUGCUGAGUGUGACUCAGCAUUGGU
rnacentral:lncRNA from 1 species